rnacentral:rRNA from 1 species
AUUGAACGCUGGCGGCAUGCCUUACACAUGCAAGUCGAACGGCAGCGGGGGAGAAGCUUGCUUUUCCUGCCGGCGAGUGGCGAACGGGUGAGUAAUACAUCGGAACGUGCCCUGUAGUGGGGGAUAACUAGUCGAAAGAUUAGCUAAUACCGCAUACGACCUGAGGGUGAAAGUGGGGGACCGCAAGGCCUCAUGCUAUAGGAGCGGCCGAUGUCUGAUUAGCUAGUUGGUGGGGUAAAGGCCUACCAAGGCGACGAUCAGUAGCUGGUCUGAGAGGACGAUCGGCCACACUGGGACUGAGACACGGCCCAGACUCCUACGGGAGGAAGCAGUGGGGAAUUUUGGACAAUGGGCGAAAGCCUGAUCCAGCAAUGCCGCGUGUGUGAAGAAGGCCUUCGGGUUGUAAAGCACUUUUGUCCGGAAAGAAAUGGCUCUGGUUAAUACCUGGGGUCGAUGACGGUACCGGAAGAAUAAGGACCGGCUAACUACGUGCCAGCCGCCGCGGUAA